UAGAAAUCCAGGCUCACUAUUCUGCUUUUGCUUAGUCCCUAUGUGUCACUUCCUUCCUCAAGGUCUCAAGAUGUUUCUGGAAUCCAGCCAUCACAUUCUUAUUCCAAACAGAAAGCAACAGGAAAGGGGAAAGGAAGAAAGAGGCCCAUGCCAAAUUUAAGCUCAACUAAGGUGAAGAACCAGAGAGCUGGUGGAAACUCAUUUGCACCUCACAGUUUUUACUCAGAACUGGCACAUUGUCAAAGCAAGUCCAGGCCCAAGCCCAAAGUCAGUGGAUUGAGAUGUGUUACAAGGAAAUAUACUACCGCCUGCUAUCUUGAUCAAAAAUAUUCAGUUUCUUCCCUUCUGGAAUCAAACUAUAUUCAUCACCACCUCUAAAGAAGAAAUCCUGAAACCUAUUUUCCCAAAGCCACUCAUUCAUUUGGUAGAUGAUCUGCUAAGUUACUACAGGUAACAAUUUGCUAAAUGCUUUGCCACUGCAUACUGUGGCUCCUCUUCCAUCUUCUAAUAAAUGGUUCCUUUAUAAC
rnacentral:lncRNA from 1 species